GACGAACGCUGGCGGCGUGCUUAACACAUGCAAGUCGAACGGAAAGGCCCUGCUUUUGUGGGGUGCUCGAGUGGCGAACGGGUGAGUAACACGUGAGUAACCUGCCCUUGACUUUGGGAUAACUUCAGGAAACUGGGGCUAAUACCGGAUAGGAGCUCCUGCUGCAUGGUGGGGGUUGGAAAGUUUCGGCGGUUGGGGAUGGACUCGCGGCUUAUCAGCUUGUUGGUGGGGUAGUGGCUUACCAAGGCUUUGACGGGUAGCCGGCCUGAGAGGGGGACCGGCCACAUGGGGACUGAGAGAGGGCGCAGACUGCUACGGGAGGCAGCAGUGGGGAAUAUUGCACAGUGGGGGGAAGCGUGAUACAGAGACGCCGGGUGCGGGAUGACGUCCUUCGGGUUGUAAACCGCUUUGGCCUGUGACGAAGCGUGAGUGACGGUAAUGGGUAAAGAAGCACCGGCUAACUACGUG
rnacentral:rRNA from 1 species